UUGACCUCAAAUCAGGUAGGACUACCCGCUGAACUUAAGCAUAUCAAUAAGCGGAGGAAAAGAAACUAACAAGGAUUCCCCUAGUAACUGCGAGUGAAGCGGGAAAAGCUCAAAUUUAAAAUCUGGCGGUUCUUGACCGUCCGAGUUGUAAUCUAGAGAAGUGUUACCUGUGCUGGACCGUGUACAAGUCUCCUGGAAUGGAGCAUCAUAGAGGGUGAGAAUCCCGUCUUUGACAUGGACUGCCUGCAUGUUGUGGUGCGCUCUCGAAGAGUCGAGUUGUUUGGGAAUGCAGCUCAAAACGGGUGGUAAAUGCCAUCUAAAGCUAAAUAUUGGCGAGAGACCGAUAGCGAACAAGUACCGUGAGGGAAAGAUGAAAAGAACUUUGGAAAGAGAGUUAAACAGUACGUGAAAUUGCUGAAAGGGAAACGCUUGAAGUCAGUCGCGUUGGCUAGAAAUCAGCCUUGCUUUUGCUUGGUGUACUUUCUUGUCGACGGGUCAGCAUCAGUUUCGACCGCUGGAUAAGGACUUUGGGAAUGUGGCAUCUUUGGAUGUGUUAUAGCCCAUUGUCGCAUAYGGUGGUGGGGAUUGAGGAACUCAGCAYGCCGCAAGGCCGGGUCUCUGACCACGCUCGUGCUUAGGAUGCUGGCAUAAUGGCUUUAAUCGACCCG
rnacentral:rRNA from 1 species